GGUCUCUAUGGGGUCAGGGGUCUCUAUGGGGUCCCUAUGGGGUCCCUAUGGGGUCUCUAUGGGGUCAGGGGUCUCUAUGGGUCCCUAUGGGGUCCCUAUGGGGUCUCUAUGGGUCCCUAUAGGGUCCCUAUGGGGUCUCUAUGGGUCCCUAUGGGGUCUCUAUGGGUCCUUAUGGGGUCUCUAUGGGUCCCUAUGGGGUCUCUAUGGGUCUCUAUGGGUCCCUAUGGGGUCUCUAUGGGUCCCUAUAGGGUCCCUAUGGGGUCUCUAUGGGUCCCUAUGGGGUCUCUAUGGGUCCCUAUGGGGUCUCUAUGAGUCUCUAUGGGUCCCUAUGGGGUCUCUAUGGGUCUCUAUUGGUCCCUAUGGGGUCUCUAUGGGUCUCUAUGGGUCCCUAUGGGGUCUCUAUGGGUCCCUAUGGGGUCCCUAUGGGGUCUCUAUGGGUCCCUAUAGGGUCCCUAUGGGGUCUCUAUGGGUCCCUAUGGGGUCUCUAUGGGUCUCUAUGGGUCCCUAUGGGGUCCCUAUGGGGUCUCUAUGGGUCCCUGUGGGGUCUCUAUGGGUCCCUAUAGGGUCCCUAUGGGGUCUCUAUGGGGUCUCUAUGGGUCUCUAUGGGUCUCUAUGGGUCCCUAUGGGGUCUCUAUGGGUCCCUAUGGGUCCCUAUGGGGUCUCUAUGGGUCCCUAUAGGGUCCCUAUGGGGUCUCUAUGGGUCCCUAUAGGGUCCCUAUGGGGUCUCUAUGGGUCUCUAUGGGUCCCUAUGGGGUCUCUAUGGGUCCCUAUAGGGUCCCUAUCGGGUCUCUAUGGGUCCCUAUGGGGUCUCUAUGGGUCCCUAUGGGGUCCCUAUGUGGUCUCUAUGGGUCUCUAUGGGUCCCUAUGGGGUCUCUAUGGGUCCCUAUAGGGUCCCUAUGGGGUCUCUAUGUGUGGGAAUACAAGAAAAGCUGUUCAGAGCAGCAGCUGUGGAGCAAGAUAAACAGCAUGGGAACCAAGGACACCUCUGCAAGGAGAAGAGUCUCACAGCUCUGAUUGGAUAUGUGCCUGCAUGGACAGUUGAAAAGUGUU
rnacentral:lncRNA from 1 species